UUUUUUAUAAUGACAGAAGGAACGUGGAAGAAAAAACAUUUUGUGCAGCAUGUGAAAACAAGGAAAUAGAAUGAAAGAAGGGCUGCUACUUUUCAUGCUCCCGAAACCAGCCAUCUCAUCAUAGCAUGUUGCAUUGGAGCUCUGCUGGAGUUUGCUGAUGACAGGAUGCUGAAGGGCUGAAGCUGGUAGCUCUGGCAGGAGUCCAGUGUCCACCAGCUCAAGAUCCGACGCCGCCGCGUCGCCGCCGUGCGGCACUCCGCGGAGACGGGGACGGCGGUCAUGAUUGAAGACACCGCAUUUCCCGCCUGGACUGUCCGGUCGGAGACUGGUAAUCCCUCCGGUGAGCCGCACACCGUGGAGCUACUGCACCGCGCGUGUCCACCCGCAGCGCAGUGCCAGCAACGGUGCCGUGAGUGCGACAUCUGCGUGCAUAUGACGCAGUGCGACUGUCACGACUCGCGGCUCAGUGUUCUGUCAGUGUGACAGUGCGGCUCGCGCUCGUUUUAGCGUGGUGCUCUGUUGUAUAUAACCACCUUGAUGGAGACCUAUGGUCCUAUGUGCUGCCGCUUGAGUUUCAAUGUACAGUUUUAUGCAUCAAACUAGCGUAAGUAAAUGGCUGUCAGAGGUCAAUUUGAAGCGCAAUUAGUACCCAUAACCCAGCUGGGUUGAGCGAGUCAUGUGACUAGUCCCGAUGAACGUACUGUUUCGAUGUCGUCAGUCGUAGACUUUUGUAAACCAUUCGUUUCGGAGCUCUGUGUUGUGUUGUUCGGGACUGCAGUUGUUUGAGCAGUUUGCUUUAUGCGUCGUACGCUGACAGAACGCUGGUCGUACACAAGUCAUGUGUUUCCUUUCGCCCCUAAUGUGUUACUGCGGUACCUAUGCAGUUGUAAUGUGUCUCUAUACACUAACUGGUCGCACUUGGUUGUGAAAAUGACACUAGCUGGUCGCACUUGGUUUCAAACUGCGCUUGGAAGUCGUGCAAUUUUAUUUGCAUUUUGCAAUGCAAUUUUAUUGCCGUUACCGUAUUGGUAGAUUGAGAUAGUGUCAGAAGUUGACCAUUUGAUGCGUUGUCACUUGUCAGACGUUGUUGCCUUAGUACUGACCAAUUGAUGGGCCGCGUUUGUGUUCCUGUUAAGAAACGGAUCUCAAUAUAAGGUGACUCAGAGGUAGGAACCUGAAUGCA
rnacentral:lncRNA from 1 species